AACGAACGCUGGCGGCAUGCCUAACACAUGCAAGUCGAACGGGAUCCUAGCUUGCUAGGUGAGAGUGGCGGACGGGUGAGUAACACGUGGGAAUCUGCCUUUUGGUUCGGAUAACCGCGGGAAACUGCGGCUAAUACCGAAUGCCCUCGAGAGAGGAAAGAUUUAUCGCCAGAAGAGGAGCCCGCGUCCGAUUAGGUAGUUGGUGGGGUAAAAGCCUACCAAGCCGACGAUCGGUAGCUGGUCUGAGAGGAUGAUCAGCCACACUGGGACUGAGAUACGGCCCAGACUCCUACGGGAGGCAGCAGUGGGGAAUAUUGGACAAUGGGGCAACCCUGAUCCAGCAAUG
rnacentral:rRNA from 1 species